UACGUAGGGUGCGAGCGUUGUCCGGAAUUAUUGGGCGUAAAGAGCUUGUAGGCGGUUUGUCGCGUCUGCUGUGAAAACUCAGGGCUUAACCCUGAGCUUGCAGUGGGUACGGGCAGACUAGAGUGCGGUAGGGGAGACUGGAAUUCCUGGUGUAGCGGUGAAAUGCGCAGAUAUCAGGAGGAACACCGGUGGCGAAGGCGGGUCUCUGGGCCGUAACUGACGCUGAGGAGCGAAAGCAUGGGGAGCGAACAGG
rnacentral:rRNA from 1 species